rnacentral:rRNA from 1 species
AUUUCUUCGGAAUGAAACCUGAUAUGACUUAGUGGCGGACGGGUGAGUAACACGUGAGCAACCUGCCUUUCAGAGGGGGAUAACGGCUGGAAACGGUCGCUAAUACCGCAUGAUACGUUUUAGGGGCAUCCCUGAGACGUCAAAGAUUUAUCGCUGAAAGAUGGGCUCGCGUCUGAUUAGAUAGUUGGUGGGGUAACGGCCUACCAAGUCUACGAUCAGUAGCCGGACUGAGAGGUUGAACGGCCACAUUGGGACUGAGAUACGGCCCAGACUCC